rnacentral:rRNA from 1 species
UACAGAGGGUGCAAACGUUGCUCGGAAUCAUUGGGCGUAAAGCGCACGUAGGCGGCCUAGCAAGUAGGGAGUGAAAGCCCUCGGCUUAACCGAGGAAGUGCUUUCUAAACUACUAGGCUUGAAUACUGGAGAGGGUCGCGGAAUUCCCGGUGUAGAGGUGAAAUUCGUAGAUAUCGGGAGGAACACCAGUGGCGAAGGCGGCUAUCUGGACGGUUUCUGACGCUAAGACGCGAAAGCGUGGGGAGCAAACAGG